CUAUUUUCACUCCCUCUUUUCUUUUUCUUUCCCUAUCUCAAAUCCUUUUAAUUUGUAGGGGCCUUAACCCUGAAAUAACCGCAUGCUGCAGCCAACCCUUUCCCAUGGCUGGAAGACACCUAAGCGCCUUGGGAGCGCGGAUCCCACAAUUCCAGCUUCUGGGGCUUUAGGUCUGGGAAGGUUCGGUUGAGGAUUGAAGUGAGUGGGGAGGUUGUGAUUCGGGGGCUUUAAAGGAAUCCCGUGGCCAGGGGCAGGGCUAAGGCCCAGCAUUUCCCAGGGAUUGGAAUUUGGUGCGGAGCACACUGAUCAAAGGCUGUUUCAUCCCACAUGGGCAUGAAACACACCACAUUUGACCGAGAAUGUAGCCUGAGAGAAGAGGGAGGUGGAAGAGAAGCAUAAAUGAAAAGCACCUUUUCUCUCAGUAAGGUAAAUCAUAAAAUGUAAACAUUUCUUCACUUUGACAAACUCAAAUUAUUUCAAUACCAAACUCUGACACAUUUGGUAUUGAAGAAAAAGUGGUGCCUAGGUAUGAUGUUAAAGUUCAGUUCUAGUAUAAAGAAUGCAAAUAAUGAAUAUUCAGGGAGUAUUAACAUGGAGUUAUUUCAUUCUCCCCACUGCACCCCACUUUGACAUUCAGAGAGAGGAUAAACACGGAAUAGACAGAAAAUUCUAGUGAUAUAUAUAUAAAGGAGCUUUGAACAUUGGACUAAUCUCAACUAUUCUUUCACUGUAUGUAUUACCACCACCACCCCCUUUUUCAACAUAAUUCCUUACUUUAAAACAAACUAUUUACGUUUGGGAAAUUCAUGGGUUCCAGCUAUCAUCAUUGAUGGUGACAUGGCUCCAAACUUUGACUUCUAAGCUAGGGAUUUCUUACAGAGCCUGGUGAGCUAAUGGGUUUUGCGACCAGGCUGGUGAGAUCUGUGGGCCUUCCUCUCUGCUCACUUUUCCUCCUCCCACUCUUCUCCCCUCCCCAGGCCUGUUAUUUCUACUUUUCCUCAUCUCGCCUUCUUUCCUCCUCCCCUCUUCCCCCCUUCUCCCUCCUCUCUCUCCCCACCCCUCUUCUCCCUCUAUUCCUCUCCCUCGCUCCAUUCCUCCACCUACUCCUCCCCAUUUCUCCCCCCCACAGCCCCCCUUCUCAGCACCACUUAUAAUGGCACACAAGGGCUCCCUCUGAGGUGGACGGCCCGGUACGUUUUCGUAGUCGGUCUAGCGUGAAAUGAUUCGGUGUAACCGGAUUCUUGGGAAAGGACAGGUUACGUAAACAUUUACUGAUGUGGAGUAACUAUACUAUUUGUACUCUGAUAUGCAGGAAGGAAAGUGUUGAUUAACACAGAAGAAAAAAAAAGCGAAAUUAGCUGAUUGCAUGCUCAUAAGUGCAAGCUGUCAUUGAACUGCUUUUAAAAUAGACACAGCUGGGUGUUUGUGUUGAAAAAUUUCUUGUGUUUUUGCUAAUACUGAAAUAAGCAUGAUUUUGUAUACCAAACAUUUUCAGAUCAUUAAAAUUUGUAAUCUGUGCUGGUUUUAAACACAAAGAAAAGAAACAGAAUCAUUUCGAUGUAAAAUUUGCUGAUAUUAUAUUAACUCAAUCAGGUCUGUACAAAUUGUGCAUUGUGCCUCCUAAAAUCUGUUUGAUCAAUUUAAUACACAAAGUGCCAAACGUGGGUAUUGUUUGUUAACAUUGGACAUUUUAUUCAAAUCCAAGCUCAGCAGCAAACUGGAGGAGCAUUCCUUGAAUACAACACCAGCACUGACUGAUGAAUUUUUAAUGUUUUAAGGUGUUUCUUAGGUCAAAGCUGAGUGUUCAUUGUUUAGUAAUCCUGCAUAAAAUUUUAGCAGGUGAAAUAAGUUUGUCUUCUGUUUACUUUCAAAUAGCAAAAACUAGGGUCUACUAAUGAGAGCUCAUUUUAUAGGCUAGGGGCUUAUAUUGACUGGGAAAAUGUUUUGCAUGCAAAUUAAAAAUGUGUUAUAUUAUUUUAAGGAUUUCAUGGAUGCAAGUCUUAAAAUAGGGUAUUUGUGUAGGAAUAAAUAAAUUAUAGAUUAAUAUUAUCAUAUUAAAGAUCUCCCUAAUGACAAAGGUUACUUGCAAUUUUGGGGAAGUGAAUUCAAAUUCCUUUUAUUAAUUUUAAUUAGGUUUUAUGGUGAGAUAGAGUGACGUAUAUGUGUAUACACACACAUAUAUGGACUUGUUCAACAAAACAUGCACUGUUUACUCAGCAGCCCACAUUUGUCUCAGCAAUGGCUUCUUUUUAGAAAAGCUACUAGAUGAAAUGAAAUGGAGGGGGAGGGGGUCUUGGACAGAGUAUUGUGCAAGUUGAAAGUCUCUGGAUGGAGCUUUGUAUAUCCUACUGGCCAAUUUGGGUGCAAAUUGGAUUUGAAGGACUGCCCACAUCUACCUCAGGCCUGUCUCCUAAACACGUGAAGCCCUAACUCUGUAUUUCCAUUUCAUUCAGUCUCUGUAAUUACCUUUAGAAGAAAGAGGGCAUCCAGUGGUCUCAAAUCUGAAAAAAAUUCUCUAUCAUUUUAAUAUUUUCUCAUCAGCAGCUUAAUCUUGAUCUCAUAGAUCUAUAAAUGUAACUGUUGACAAAUCAAAGCUUAAGUCAGAGCAAAUAUAAUUUUCUGGCACAUAGUUGUAAACUUCUCAUCUGCCUUCCUCUGCAUCCCCCCCCACCUCCCUAGAAGACAAGCCUUGUAAAGAGUGAGUGGUUGUAACUAAGAAUUGCUUAGGAAAUAAAUUACAUUAUUCUGUCUCUAUUUCAAUUAAUAGUCAAGACUUCACAGCCAAUUUCAGGGAGGAGCAUGUUUAGUUUUUCUAUUUCUGAUGUUACAUUUAGUCUACCUUUUUGUCUGUGCCUUCUUUUUUUCCCUUAUUACCUGCUGGUUAAAGGAGGGCAAGCCAUUUUUGCCUAAAAUGCACCCUGCUCUUGGCACCCUGGAUAGGAUGUCCUUGGAGCAGUGCCCAGCACCAAACUCUGGAUAAAGCUCUCUUCCUGCAGAUGCAUGGGGAGUCCCUGACCCUGUGACAUUUGGGAGCAGGAGGAACCCAUGCAGAGGCAUCCAGGUAUGUCCAGGGAUCCUGUGACAAGCGAGGUCUGCCCUCAUUCAAGCCAACUCAUCCCUAAUCCCUUCCUAACAGCAGGUAAUGGUGCUAACAUUUAGUGAUUAUAAGUUACUCUUUAGCGUGUUGUAUCCCUGUUCUGUGGGUUUUGGUUACAGGUUAUACGAUUAGGCUUGCGAGAACAGUAGUGAACUAAACUUCUCAGUAAGAGGUCUUCACACCAGGGAAGUGUUACUUUUCUGCAGCAGCACUGCCUCGUCACUCAUUAGGGAGCUGCAGGUUGUCAAGCUGCUGCUCUUAGUGUGCGCGCAUCCUCAACAUCCCUGGGGGCAAGCCCAUGUGCACCCGGGCACGCGCACGCAUGCACACACACACACACACACAUGCACACACACACACUGCACUAAAACUAAAUUAAGAAGCCGAUGAUUAAGACAAGCGUCUACUAGGCCUGUCAUUUCAGCAUCCUUCCAUCAUAACAUUGUGGCACCGGCAAUUUUGCUUGAGAACCUUGAGAAAAAAAAUCCAUGGGAGAGCCUCGUAUUUGAGAGUCGAAAUGUUUAACUUGUAUAAGCUAGGGAACAUUUUCGAAGUGAUAAAGUCCAAAGUUAAAAAAAAGAAGAAGAGGAAGGAAAAGAAAGCCUGGAUAGAGACCCUGGGACUGUGACCCUACCAGAGGUUCCAAGCUCUCUGAAGAUAAGAACAUACUCAUCCAAAGAAAUCCUGCUGAGAGCUGCAACCAAAUACAUUUGGGAGAAUCUUCUUCCCAAUAUAAUCCCACAGAAAGCCAGGUGUGGAGAAAUUCAUGAGGAAAUAUUACCAUUCCAGGGUGGAAGGAUCUUUAAAAUAUCUCACCAAACAACCUCUCAAAUACUCUGUACAUCUCUUGCAAAUAUAAAAUGCCCACUAGCCAUUUACUUGUUUCCUGUUAUUUGCCAGCAUGCUUGGUACCUCUGAGGAUGGACAGUUUGCAGAGGGAGUUGAGUCCUUAGUGUGAGGGGAGGCCUGUUUCAUUUUUUGUCCUGAUUCAAUUGUCCUACACUCUUCUGGCAACCGGGCCAAAAGGCCAAUUCUUUUUUCUUCUAGUUGCCCUAGGAAAUGGCGAAGCCCAUCCUUUAGAGGGGUCAGGAAAUGCUGAAGAGAAAGACAAAGACUUGGAAGGGUGAUGGUAAAUGGGAAUGACGGAGGCUAGUGCUCAGGUCUUUAGCUUUAACCCUUGAGUCUAUCUAAAAAGGGAGGAAGUGAGAGUUGGCAAAAGUCAGUACAGAAGAUAAUUCUACAUUGGAAUUUCCAUCGGGGGACAUGGAAGGUGGGAAAAAAAUGACUUCUUAAAUAUAUAUCAGCCUGAAAGAAAAACUUACAGGCCUCAAAAUGCAGAGCUCCUACCUAACCCAUUGCUGUUCUCUUUAAUUAGUUGGAGCUUCAAUUUAAUUUCCUAUAGAACCCUGAAUAAUCUACUUUGGAAAAUGUUAACAUCACUAUCCAGAGAAUUUGGGAUAUCAAGUGUCCUCUAUUCUGAAGCACCUUCUAAAAGGUCCCCCAAACUCAAGUCUUGUGAGGAAAAAUGAAACGAUGCGGCUGAGCUGCAAUUAUUAAGGCAGUCAGCACUCAAUAGUCACCCUCUCAAUAGUUAAAAGUAUGCGAAGAGCACUGAAUAGCCCAAAGACCAUAUAGAAGAUUGAUGAGUAUGUUUCAGACAAUGCUCUUGUCCACUGAUGGUCUGUGGAGGAAUGAUAAGAGAAAAAACUGCCCGCGUUGGGGUGAGCAGGCCAGGAGGCAUGCAGAGAUCCCCUCCAUCCCAAAGUCCCCUUUCGCAGAGGAAAGUCAUAUGAAAGAAAACUAUUUACUAAUGAAACACAUCUGCUUCCUUUCUAAAAACCCAGGUGGACAAACUAAUGAGUCUGUUUUUACUUCGCGUCUAUCUCAUACCCACCUGCCUUUUCACUCUCGAACUGCCGUUCCGUAGGUCUUCCCCACCCCCUCCAACUCGAAGCAGAGGAAAAGGCGUUGGAGCAACAUUUCGCAGAAGGUCCUGAUCUUCUCCCUCCCUUGCUAACCCCCGGAGGCUGUAGCUGCGACGGUUACCGGCGAGGAGCGUCUAGGAAUCCUGGCUCCAGGGCCUGCGUGCCGCUCCUCCCCACUCGCACCCGCGCACUUGCCCUGCGCUCCUUUGUCGCCCGCGCCUGCCAAGCGCAAUCCUGCCAGAAGACUUGCUUUUAGGUUUCAUUUCCUGAUUUACCCCCUUAGUUAUCUUUUCAGCCCAGAUACCUUGUGUUUGCACAUCACGCCGGAAGCACGCAUACAGAUCAAUAUUUUUGGGCUAAGAGGUCAUCUGCCACAGUGAACGCGGAAAAAAAUUGAGCCUAGUAAAAGGCUUUAAACUUAUUUAUAUAAAGCACAACUCAGAGUUAAAAGACUGGGGUGCGUGCAGAUGAAGUUAAUUCGAAUAUUCAAUUACAUGUAAGGAGUGUGGGAUCUAGUGGGGGAGAGCAGUUAUAUGCCUAUUUCCCUCCUGCCCUAGGGAAGGAGCGGAAGGCUGAGAGGAAAGGAGCGGCCAGGGUAAAAGCUAGAUGCAGGAUGGCGUCAGGAACAAGUUACCGUUAUGAUGUGCAAACAGAACAACCCGACUCUUCCAUUUCAGAAUCUACAACAAAGGAGGGACCAUCUUUGCAAAAAGACUGUACUCAAAACAUGUUUGUUAAUGAUCUUGGGAUCCAAGAUUUGCGAAGAUGAGGAAUUGAUACACAGAGAAGUUUAGUAACUACCCCUUGGAUAUAACUGUAUCACUCGACACUGCAGCUGCUCUAGAAUUGGAAAGAAACAGUUUUGCUGGGCUCUUAAAAACUGUGAGUAUUGGCUAGGGUGAAAGCACACCUUUUAUAUUUGUAGUAUAACUAUUUAAGCAAUGAAUGAUGAAAACCUACAUAAUUUCAUCUAGUCAUUACCUGAGGUAGACAACAGAUUUUAUGUCUUCUAUGUUUCAGUAUCAAAACUGGUGACUAGAUGUCUUGCUCAGUAUCACAAGGUAGAAUCUGUACCUUGUCACUCUGCAGUUUUCAGAUGACUUAAGUAUAAAGUAAUAUUGGUAGUCAUCAAGAUGGUGGAGUAGGAAGACUCUGAGCUUACUUUCUCCUACAGGUAUCCCCAAAUUACAAACUAUUUACAGAGCAGCAGUCUCUGGGAAUAACCUAAGACUAGCAGAAAAGAUUUUCUACAAUUAAACAUAUGAAGGAGCCACAACAGGAGGGUAGAAAGGGGAGAGAUACAAUUUAGUCAGGACCACAUUUCCAGUGUGGUGACUCACAUACCCAGUGUGAGGACUUACAAGUAGAAGGGAUGUCAUAACUGCAAAGUCCCUGUCCAAGGAGUGAGGGGCCCAAGCCCCACAUUGCACUCCUCAGACUGUGGGACCUGUACCAGGAAGCAUAGCCUCCUAAAUAUGUGACUUUUUCCACAGAACAGCUAAUUUCAAUAUGAAACCACAAAAGCCACUGAAUAGCCAAGGCAAUCUUAAGAAAAAAGAAAGCUGAAUGAAUCAUGCUCCUUGAUUUAAAAUUGCACUACAAAACUCUAGCAAUCAAAACUAUAUGACACUGGUAUAAAAACAGGCAUUUAGAUCAAAGAAAGAGGAGAGUCCAAAAAUAAACCCAUGUUAAUUUAUGACAAAGGAGACAAGAAUAUACAAUGGAGAAAAGGCAGCCUCUUCAAUAAAUGGUAGUAUGGAAACUGGACAGCUAUAUGCAAAAGAGUGAAACUGGAUCACUUUCUUAUACCAUAUAAAAAUAAAGUCAAAAUGUAUUAAAGACUUAAAUGUAAAUGUAAUGCCUGAAGCCAUAUAACACCUAAAAGAAAACAUAGACAUUAAGUUCUUUGACAUUAGUCUUAGCAACAUUUUUUUUGGAUGUGUCUCCCCAGGCCUGGGAAGCAAAAGUAAAAAUGUACAA